rnacentral:rRNA from 1 species
GAUGAACGCUGGCGGCGCGCCUAACACAUGCAAGUCGAACGAUUAAAGCACCUUCGGGUGUGUAUAAAGUGGCGAACGGCUGAGUAACACGUGGGCAACCUGCCCCUUUCAUUGGGAUAGCCACGGGAAACCGUGGAUAAUACCGAAUACUUCGAGACUUCCGCAUGGAAGACUCGAGAAAGCUCCGGCGGGGGGGGAUGGGCCCGCGGCCUGUUAGCUUGUUGGUGGGGUAACGGCCUACCAAGGCAAUGAUGGGUAGCUGGGUUGAGAGACCGACCAGCCAGAUUGGGACUGAGACACGGCCCAGACUCCUACGGGAGGCAGCAGUGGGGAAUCUUGCACAAUGGGCGAAAGCCUGAUGCAGCGACGCCGCGUGCGGGAUGAAGGCCUUCGGGUUGUAAACCGCUUUCAGCAGGGACGAGGCGAAAGUGACGGUACCUGCAGAAGAAGCCCCGGCUAACUACGUG